CACAUGCAAGUCGAGCGGUAACAGCGGGAGCUUGCUCCCGGCUGACGAGCGGCGGACGGGUGAGUAACGCGUGGGAAUCUGCCUUGUAGUGGGGGAUAGCCCGGAGAAAUCCGGAUUAAUACCGCAUACGCCCUACGGGGGAAAGCUGGGGAUCUUCGGACCUGGCGCUAUUAGAGGAGCCCGCGUUAGAUUAGCUAGUUGGUGGGGUAAUGGCUCACCAAGGCGACGAUCUAUAGCUGGUCUGAGAGGACGAUCAGCCACACUGGGACUGAGACACGGCCCAGACUCCUACGGGAGGCAGCAGUGGGGAAUAUUGCACAAUGGGCGAAAGCCUGAUGCAGCAAUACCGCGUGUGUGAAGAAGGCCUGCGGGUUGUAAAGCACUUUCAAUCGUGAAGAAAAGUUGCGGGUUAAUACCCCGUGACCUUGACGUUAGCGAUACAAGAAGCACCGGCUAACUCCGUGCCAGCAGCCGCGGUAAUACGGAGGGUGCGAGCGUUAAUCGGAAUUACUGGGCGUAAAGCGUACGUAGGCGGUCUGUUAAGUCAGAUGUGAAAGCCCCGGGCUUAACCUGGGAACUGCAUUUGAUACUGGCAGGCUAGAGUAUGGUA
rnacentral:rRNA from 1 species